rnacentral:lncRNA from 1 species
UUUAUCUUUAAAAUUACAUUAUUAUAAACAUUGGUCAUUGGACACAAUAAUAGCAGAAUCAUUGUAUAAAAGAAAAUUGGAUUUAAAUCCUAAAGAAAGAAGAAAAAGGAGGUAAUCUAGAAGGUCAGGCGAAAAACCCAUUCUUCUUUUCCUUCUCCUUCUCCUUCUUGAGACUGAGACCACAGCAAGAAAGGAGAGAACCCAUUACCAGUGACCAAUGUUUUUG